rnacentral:rRNA from 1 species
AUGAAGCCUCGCCGGAGUUACAAUGGAGCAACGCGGGUCCGCCGAAAACAUAGCUGGCGCUGCAAUGAAACCCCGCCGGAGUUGCAAUGGAGCUUCGUCGGACGCGCCGGUGUUGUGUUGGAGCUUCGCCGGAGUUGCAUUGAAGCUUCACUGGAGCCAGCGGUGCUGCAUUGGAGCUCCUCCGGGGCUGCAAUGGAGCUUCGCCGGAGACGUCGAUGCUGCGUUGGAGCUCCGCCGGGGGCUGCAAUGGAGCUUCGCCGGAAGCGUCGGCGCACUGGUGCUGCGUUGGAGCAUGGAGGUGGUGCGAUGGAGAUACAAGUCUGGGAGGGGGCUGUCCUCGUGGAUAUGCAGCAAGAGGAGGAAGACAGGCUGCGAGCCUAUGGAUCAACCGGCUCGUGUGCCUUAAUCGAACGGCUCCUCAGGGGAUGA